UCUGUCAAAUUAAUCAUGAUAUGAAUUUGAUAUAAAUUGAAAAAACAGACUAAGCGCGCUUAUCGGUUAUUUCCCUCCGAAGCAAGAUUGAGAUCGAUGGCGGGAUCGGAGUCAGCACCAGCAGAAGCAGAAACCGAAAACCACCUCUCUUCUCUCAUCUACGACAUAUCAAAUGAAGCUCAAGCUAUCAUGGAAAACAUGCUUAAGAUGAUCGCUGAAAUAAAUCAAAAUUCUGCAGUGAUAGAAGAAGAAAUAGAGAAGUGUAAAGGUUCUGCUAUAGAGAGGAAAACAGCUUUAGAUGAAGAGAGAGAUCAUUUUCAAAAAGCUGCUUAUGCUGUUCUCGACAUGUUAAACAGAGAUUAAAAAGUCCUAGGAAAUUGCAGGAAAAAUAUGUGGAUUUGGGUUAUCAAUUUCUCUCAAUUUUGAAGCAUGUUUCCUGGAAGUGCUUGAAGAUGAUGAGUUCUAAUUGAUGCAAAGUAAACAAGACCUUCCCAAAUGUCUUCUACCUCAGGUUGAUGCAAUAUGUUUUGUUGGUUGCAGGUCUAUGAGAUACUUUCCCAUCUCUAUAGUUCAGAAGUUACAAUAAAUACAAGGUUUCUCUAAUUUCAAAUCUAAACGAAUUACUUUAGUUUCCUUUGUCUAAGUGGGUUAAUUUUUGGUUAUUUUUAUUUCUUUCUAUAAGUCACUGACUCACUAGGUGUCUAGCAGUUAUUGCUUAUUUUACUGAAUCAAUGUCUGUGGGAUUCCAUCUUA